GCCAGCACCAUGCACGCCGCGGUCACGGCCAGCGUGGCUGAGGAGAGCGGGCCGCAUCAGCCCCGCGUGGGCGCCGCCCCUGCCGCGAAAGCUUCGGUCUCAACCGGAAGCUCUCCUGGCCACCACCCCCGCCCACGGUGAUGAAACCGGGGCUCAGAGAAGUAAAGUGACUUGCCCGAGGUGCCAUAAUUCGAAGCAGGGCAGAGUUGAAACUCUAACUCCAACACCCACACUCUUAACUGUUUGGCUCUCCUGGUAUCUUGGAGCACCUCUCUUGGAGGAUAAUUGGACUCCUCAGACAGAACUUGGAUGCUCCCAUGGAAAAAAAGAGGAAAUGUGGACAUAGACACACACAGAGAAAGAGGAAGCUCUGCAAUGAAGGUAGAAAUAGAAGCGAGGCACCUUCAAGCCAAGGAACACUGAAGGUUGUCAGCAAAUCACCAGAAGCUGGGGGAGGGACAGACACGAAGGAGAAAGAGAUUUUCCCUUGCAGCCCUCAAAAGGAAUCAAUCUUGCCAGCACCUUGAUAUUGGACUUCUGGCCUCCAUAGCUGUGAAAUAAAACAUUUCUGUUGUU